UUAAAAAGCUCGUAGUUGGAUUUCUGCCGAGGACGACCGGUCCGCCCUCUGGGUGAGUAUCUGGCUCGGCCUGGGCAUCUUCUUGGAGAACGUAGCUGCACUUGACUGUGUGGUGCGGUAUCCAGGACUUUUACUUUGAGGAAAUUAGAGUGUUUCAAGCAGGCACAUGCCUUGAAUACAUUAGCAUGGAAUAAUAAGAUAGGACCUCGGUUCUAUUUUGUUGGUUUCUAGAGCUGAGGUAAUGAUUAAUAGGGAUAGUUGGGGGC
rnacentral:rRNA from 1 species